UUAAUUUUACAUAAACAACAGACAUAUCUGUGGUACAGGUAUGUCCCAUGUGAUAUUUGGGACAUACUUAUCCUAAAGAAAAGUGUAUGCUGGCU
rnacentral:miRNA from 1 species